CCUACGGGUGGCUGCAGUAGGGAAUCUUUCACAAUGGGCGAAAGCCUGAUCGAGCAACGCCGCGUGCAGGAAGAAGGCCUUCGGGUUGUAAACUGCUUUUAUAAGGGAGGAAAAGGAUGGUAACUUAUGAAUAAGGAGAGGCCAACUACGUGCCAGCAGCCGCGGUCAUACGUAGGAUCCGAGCAUUAUCCGGAGUGACUGGGUGUAAAGAGUUGCGUAGGUGGCAUAAUAAGUAGCUAGGGAAAUCUGGUGGCUCAACCAUUCAGACUAUUGGCUAAACUGUUAAGCUCGAGACCGUUAGGGGUAACUGGAAUGUCUAGUGUAGGAGUGAAAUGCGUAGAUAUUAGAAAGAACACCGAUAGCGAAGGCAGGUUACUGGGACGGUUCUGACGCUAAGGCACGAAAGCGUAGGGAGCAAACGGGAUUAGAUACCCGGGUAGUC
rnacentral:rRNA from 1 species